GACGAACGCUGGCGGCGUGCUUAACACAUGCAAGUCGAACGGAAAGGCCCUGCUUGCAGGGUCCUCGAGUGGCGAACGGGUGAGUAACACGUGGGUGAUCUGCCCUGCACUUCGGGAUAAGCCUGGGAAACUGGGUCUAAUACCGGAUAGGAGCCAUUUUUAGUGUGAUGGUUGGAAAGUUUUUUCGGUGUAGGAUGAGCUCGCGGCCUAUCAGCUUGUUGGUGGGGUAAUGGCCUACCAAGGCGGCGACGGGUAGCCGGCCUGAGAGGGUGGGCGGCCACAUUGGGACUGGGAUACGGCCCAGACUCCGACGGGAGGCAGCAGUGGGGAAUAUUGCUCAAUGGGCGCAAGCCUGAUGCAGCGACGCCGCGUGGGGGAUGACGGCCUUCGGGUUGUAAACUCCUUUCGCUAGGGACGAAGCUUUUUGUGACGGUACCUAGAUAAGAAGCACCGGCUAACUACGUG
rnacentral:rRNA from 1 species